rnacentral:rRNA from 1 species
GGGGAAUCUUCCGCAAUGGACGAAAGUCUGACGGAGCAACGCCGCGUGAGUGAUGACGGCCUUCGGGUUGUAAAGCUCUGUUAAUCGGGACGAAUAGUUCUUGUGCGAAUAGUGCGAGGAUUUGACGGUACCGGAAUAGAAAGCCACGGCUAACUACGUGCCAGCAGCCGCGGUAAUACGUAGGUGGCAAGCGUUGUCCGGAAUUAUUGGGCGUAAAGCGCGCGCAGGCGGAUUGGUCAGUCUGUCUUAAAAGUUCGGGGCUUAACCCCGUGAUGGGAUGGAAACUGCCAAUCUAGAGUAUCGGAGAGGAAAGUGGAAUUCCUAGUGUAGCGGUGAAAUGCGUAGAUAUUAGGAAGAACACCAGUGGCGAAGGCGACUUUCUGGACGAAAACUGACGCUGAGGCGCGAAAGCCAGGGGAGCGAACGGGAUUAGAUACCCCGGUAGUCCUGGCCGUAAACGAUGGGUACUAGGUGUAGGAGGUAUCGACCCCUUCUGUGCCGGAGUUAACGCAAUAAGUACCCCGCCUGGGGAGUACGACCGCAAGGUUG